rnacentral:pre_miRNA from 1 species
AUGGGAAUCUCCUGGGGACCGUGUUAAAGAGCAGGUUCUGAUUCAGCAGGUCUGGGGUGUGGCCUGAGAGUCUGCAUCUCUAACAAGCUCCCAGGGGAUGCUGUC